UUGUCACACUGGAUGAUUUCCAGACAGAGGCUCCAAGUCUUUCAUCAUGUUUGGGUUAAAGACCUCAUUAACAUACUAGUCCUGCCAUUUGAGUCUGUUCUCUUCACGGAAUAUUUUCACCUGAAUCACCAUAACAUCCUAUGGCCCUGAAAAUAGUUCUGCCAAGCUGCGUGCAGUGGACACUUCACGGCUGGCACAGGAGAGAUCACAAGGCCUUGCUCAAUUUCAUCAAAAGUGUUAAAGCGACUCAGCAGAUUGUGAAGCACAAGUGGAAGCUGAUAAUUGGUGUUUCUUACAAAUCAACGGCUUGUCUCCACACAUCAAGGUGAGAAAAUCAAUGUAAAAGAGGAGAAAUAACCCACACAACCACAUACAACUAGGAAAUGAUAGAUGGAUCUGAAAAAAAGGAUAUGCACUCUUAACAAGUUCAACACCCAAGUACUAUUGCAAGUACCAGCUGUAUUUCAUGGAAAAAAAAAAAAGAAUAACUCAAAAGGCAGAACGAAGAGCCUAGAGGUCAGAGAUGAGAGGCAUGAAUAAUUAUUCACAGGCGUUGAAUAUAAUCAAAUGACUUGCAACAUUUACCACUGGGAUUUUAAAAUGUGGUGGACCAAUCAUUCUUUUAGUCUGUGCAUUUUCCCAUUUUUUUCAACAGGAAUGUCUAGAGACAUUAUUCCUGUUUUGCCACUGUAUUUUUGGUGAAUGUGUAGUAAGUAACUGGCCUCUUUAGUAUCACAAAGCUGGAUGAAGAAAAUGUGGUACAUAUACACCAUGAAAUACUAUGCCGCCACAAAAAGGAAAUGAGAUCAUGUCCUCUGCAGGGACAUGGAUGAAGCUGGAAGCCAUUAUCCUUAGCAAAGUAACGCAGGAACAGAAAACCAAACACCACAUGUUGUCUCUUAGAAGUGGGAGCUGAACGUACCUAAUUCUUGCAAUUCAGUGUAUUUCCUGGCGAGAGGCAGAGAUGAACAACCCUGGACAGUUACCACAUAUGGCUCUUAUGAGGUAAUGAGGAUGGUUGUGAUGAGAAGGGUAAAAAAUAAAAAAGUUAUUACAAAACAUUUUUCAAGGAAUUUUCCAAAAAAUGAUUUUAAUAUUCUCUUUGCUUAUGGAAUGAUAUUUAAAACCAUGAUUUCUGUGUCCUUUAAAAUGACUUCUGAUUUGUGAAUUGUUCUCUGUGCUCCAAACUUCUUUUAUUUGUCCCUGUGUUUAUGCUCAUAACCAUUCAUUUCCCUCUUUUCCCACUGACUUAGCCUCUGGGGUUGUAAAGAAGUUACUCGUUUAUUUUUGUGUAUGUGUGGGGUUUUGUCUUUUGUUUUCUGAGAAUAAAGUAUAUGAGAUCAUGGAAAAAAUCAGAAAACGAGGAAAAUCAUAAAUUCAUUACCAAAAUAAUUUCUGAUUUGGUAUUAUAGCUCUGCAAAUUACUUCACUAAUUGUGUUCAUAGGUACUAUGGUACACUGUACACUGUUUUGUAACUUGCUUUUUAGAUGGAUUAUAUCAUAUUUUUCUGUAUCAAUAAAUAUGAAUUCAUUACAUCAGUUUAAACUGAUCAAAAACAUUUUAAUCAAAGUAAUACAAUUAAAUUGCUAAAUAUCAUAGGGAAUCGAAGAGUUUAUAAUCCCAAACCAUACUCUUUCUUUUCCUAGCCAGCUGGGGACAUUUUUAAUUGUUUCUAUUUUCAUUCUUUCUGUUUCAGUUCUUAUAAAAAUACAUAUAUAAAAUUGGCUAAAUGAUUAAAUGUUAUAGUAGUUCUUUAAUUAUAAAUUUGAAUAAUAUUUGUUGACUUCCAAACUGCAUACCCCUUGCCUUGUCCAAGUAAAACUGUACCAUCGUUUAUUCUCUGUGUUGUCAAUAAAACACUAAGUGAUAUCUGAGUUUCUAAAUUUCAGUUCACUCAUAGAAUGUAUCCUUUUUUUUCUUCUUGCCUCCAACAUUUUAUUAUGAAAUUUUCAAAUUCAUGAUAAAAGUAUAUAGUAUUCAUCUGUAUACUUACCUCCUAGUCUAUAUAUUUUUUACAUACUGUUUAUAAUUGUUUUAUUAUUUUCUACCCAUUUGUCUAUCUGUUAACCCAGCUUAAUUUUUGAUGCAUUUAAAAGUAGGUUGUAGAUACAAAUAACCAUCACCCUAACACCCUUCAAUACAAUGUUUACAGUUGUUUUUUUGACAUUGGAAUGUAUCUGUGGUUUCUCUAUUUCAUAGGAUCAUAGCAUUAACACCUUUACACUUCCCCUUACAUCUCCUUCCAUUUCUUCUCCCCGUCCGCCACCAGCUUCCAUCAUCUGUAUUAUACAGAAUCUGUCCUAAAAAAUUCUGAAGUAGGCCUUAGGUUUUUUUUGUUUUUUUAAAGGGUCUUGUUCUGUGGCCCAAGCUACAGUGCAGUGGCACAAUCUCAGCUCACUGCAGCCUCUGCCUCCUGGGCUCAAGUAAUCCUCCUGAAUAGCAGGGAUUACAGGCACAGACUACCAUGCUUAGCUAAUUUUUCUAUUUUUUUAUUUGUAGAGAUGGGGUUUCAUCAUAUUACCCAGGCUGGUCUCAAACUUCUGGGCUCAAGCAAUCUACCUGCCUAUGCCUCUGAAUGUGCUGGGAUUACAGGUGUGAGACACCCUGUGUGGCCAGGCCUCUUUUUAAAAAUAAGCCUGAUAGUUAAUUUUAUAUGUCAAUUUGACUGAGCCAUAAGUUGCCCAGAGAUUUUGUCAAGCAUUAUCCUGGGUGUGCCUCUGUGGGUGUUUCUGAAUGAGAUUAGUAUUUAAAUCAGUAGACUGAAUAAAAUAGAUUGCCUUCCCUAAUGUGGAUGGGCCUCAUUCAAUAGCUGUGGGAAUGAAUAGAUCAAAAGGGCAAACCCCUCCGUGAGUGACAGAGAUCUCUUCCUGCCUGACUGCCUUCAAGCUGAGACACUGGAAUUUUUUUUCUGCCUUUUGACUUCAAUUAAAACAUUGGCUUUUCCUGGGUCUUGAGCCUGCCCGUCUUUAGACUAGAACUAGAAGCUAUCCUGGGUCUACAGUUUGCCAACUGCAUACCUUUGGACUAGUCAGCCUUUAUAAUUGUGUGAGCCAAUUCCUUAUAACAAAUCUUUAUAUAUCGAUAUAUAGAGAUAUAUAUUGAUAUAUAUAUAUACCUAUAUAGAGAGAUAUAUCUAUAUAUCUAUAUAGAUAUCUAUACCUAUAUAGAGAGAUAUGUCUAUAUCCAUAUAUAGAUAUAUAGAGAUCCAUAUAUAUCCUCUAUAUAUGGAUACAUCUAUAUAUAGAGAGAUCUCUCUAAAUAUCUCUAUAUCUAUAACUAUAUCUACAUCUACAUCUAUAGCUAUAUCAACAUCCAAUUUGUUCUUUUUCUCUGAGAACACCUACUGAUAAAUAAGUUUCUAAGUUUUGUCUAUCAGUUGAUGCUAAAACAUUAAAAAAAGAGAACAACUAAUACUCUUUUUACACUAAUUAGAACAAUGUAAGCCUUUUUGUUUUAUUACCAAAUAAUUUGUAUUUCCUAUGUAAUUGCUGCAGUUUUAUUUUGCAUAUAGAUUUUUUUUCCGUAACAUCUUUGUCUGUUAGUGGUUUUAUUUAUGUAUUUUUUUAAUAUCCUUAGAUUCAUCCCACUUCUGAGGUCAGACAUCACAUCUUUUCACUACAUGCCUCUCUUUGGGAGGUUUCUUUCUUGCUAAUCCAAACAAGAACAUCUGCACAAUUGUCAACCUGGAAUUUACUUUAUUAAUCUCCUGGUUUGGAAACACUUUUUCUUGGAUGUUAUAUUUACUUUGGUUUACUAUUUUGUUGGCUUGCACUAAUUUUAUAUGAUUUCUUAAUAAUGAGUGUAUGUUAGACAUUUUACUUGAGUCUUUUCAUAUCACGGUAUGCCUUUAUUUUACCCUCAUAUAUAAUUAAUUUUCAUCUGGGCAUAUAUUUCCAGAUUAGAAAUCAUUUCUUUUCAUACAUUUUAAGGAAUUUAUACAUUUGCAUCUGAAAUUGUAUUCAUUAUCUUCUAGAAACCAAGAGUGGACUUGGUAUCCGUCUGAUUAUAUUUUCUUUGUUGGUAAAGAGCCUCUUUUUUCCCUUUUUAUUUUCAUCUUCUCUUUCUCUAGUGUUUAUAAUCUUAUUUUUAUGAAUGUAGUCUAAUUAUUUAGAACACUGUCUCCGAGUAUGUGUUUAUUUGGGUUUGUGUUUUGAACAUUGCCUCCAGGUGCGAGUUUAUGUGUGUUUAUGUUUCCUAUUUGAGGUUGGACACUUAGAAAAUUUUCUCAAUUCGAAAACUAUUUUCCUUCAGCACUCAGAAAUUUUUAUCAAUGAUUAUUUCCACGAUUAUUUCCUGUCCUUGGUUUUUCGUGUUCUUAACCUAGAAUUCAAUUGUUUAAUGUUAGACCUUACACAUCUUCAAUGUAUCAUAUAUAUUUCACUCAUAUUAUUUAUUGUCAUAUCUUUUGGACUAUUGUGUGAAAGCAAUAAAUGUAUAUUACUUUA